GAUGAACGCUGGCGGCGUGCCUAAUACAUGCAAGUCGAGCGAACGGACGAGAAGCUUGCUUUUCUGAUGUUAGCGGCGGACGGGUGAGUAACACGUGGAUAACCUACCUAUAAGACUGGGAUAACUUCGGGAAACCGGAGCUAAUACCGGAUAAUAUUUUGAACCGCAUGGUUCAAAAGUGAAAGACGGUCUUGCUGUCACUUAUAGAUGGAUCCGCGCUGCAUUAGCUAGUUGGUAAGGUAACGGCUUACCAAGGCAACGAUGCAUAGCCGACCUGAGAGGGUGAUCGGCCACACUGGAACUGAGACACGGUCCAGACUCCUACGGGAGGCAGCAGUAGGGAAUCUUCCGCAAUGGGCGAAAGCCUGACGGAGCAACGCCGCGUGAGUGAUGAAGGUCUUCGGAUCGUAAAACUCUGUUAUUAGGGAAGAACAUAUGUGUAAGUAACUGUGCACAUCUUGACGGUACCUAAUCAGAAAGCCACGGCUAACUCCGUG
rnacentral:rRNA from 1 species